rnacentral:rRNA from 1 species
UACGUAGGUGGCAAGCGUUGUCCGGAUUUACUGGGCGUAAAGCGCGCGCAGGCGGCUGAUUAAGUCCGAUGUGAAAUCUCCCGGCUCAACCGGGAGCGGUCAUUGGAUACUGGUCGGCUUGAGGGAGGCAGAGGAGAGUGGAAUUCCCGGUGUAGUGGUGGAAUGCGUAGAUAUCGGGAGGAACACCAGCGGCGAAGGCGGCUCUCUGGGCCUUUCCUGACGCUGAGGCGCGAAAGCGUGGGGAGCAACCGG